GAAGUCUCGGGCUCGUUGGAUUUGAGCGGUGCCCUAGGCUUUAUCUAUAAAACGAGCUUAUGUUUCUCUCUCUAGCAACCCAUCCGAUGAUUCUUGAAUUGAGCCAGCCAUCAAUCUCAAGCUUUUUCGUGGAGAUUACUUGAGGGUUUUACGAUCAAUCCAGCUGCUAGAGCUCGUCAGAGUUCAAGGUAAAUGACUCAGAAACUUCUUCUCUUUCUUUUUCUGGAUUCAAGGAUAUUGGGACCACCUUGUUGAAGCCGGCCAGCCACCCAAUCUCGUCAUGCAUCAUCUUCCUUGUUUCGGCCUAAACCCCCAUUUUCUUCUGCUUCUUCCAUUGAUGGCCAUUGCCAACAUUGUUGCUGCCAUGAUUUUUGUUGAAAUUUGGUUUCCUAGUUGAUGCCGUAUGACAUCGGGUUUGCCGCGGCCUAUUGCUGCCAUGUCUCAAUUUUUUCUUGUCUCUCUACUUUGGUUUCUUUUUUUUUGUUGCCCAUCGCUAGUUGCCGGAUUAGGUCUACCUUCGCCACUUCCCCGCGUAUUCCUAACCACCGCCACCACCCUAGAUCUUGUCUCUCUUCCUUCAUUUUGAGAAGAAACGCCAUGGUUUCUCUUUCGUUUCCUCUAUCUUCUCUCUCUUUCUCCCUUCUUUUUCAUCCUUUUUCUCUCCUCUCUCUAGUUGAUAUAUGGAAUUUCAUAGAAGGGAUUCAAGGGAUUCAAUGGUGGACCCCUGGUGGACUGCAAUAGAGAGUCUCAGAUUGUUAAUGUACAUCCCGAUUUUUAGAAGGAGGUAUGGACUGAGUUGAGUCUGUCGCCAGCAGAGAUAAAAUUCCUAGAUAUUAAUCAUCUCUAUAUAGAAGCUAUUUUUGUGCACCAAGAAUUUUGCUUUGCGUGGUAUAUGAGAACUGCUCAUUUUAUACUUACCUAUGAAGCAUAUAUGGUUCUUUGGUACUUGCAUAUAGUGUAUUUUGCAAAAGAGUAUAUGAUCUUGAAUUAUAUUUAAAUAAUAAACAUGUAAUUGAAUUGUAUAUCUAAAUGUGGGUUGCAGUAUUUAGGACUAGCCGCGUUGUUGAUGUCCUGCUACACGCGAAAAAUGUAGUACUAUUGAUGUCCCACCAUAGGCUGAAAAUAUGGUACAGUUGAUGCUCCACCAUAGGCCAAAAAUAUGGUUAUGGUAAUCUAGAGUAGAGAACCUAUAUUAUCGGAUCCGAUAUAUGCUAAUUUGAGAUUAUUAUUUGAUGUGGUUUGUUACAUUAAAGGAUAUAUAUUUGCUAUGCAUGUUGUAUGAUUAUGGUAUUUUGUAGUAUGAAAUUUAUAUAAAUAACAAUUAUUUGAUAAUUUGUCAUUUAUUAUUCUUACAAUAAUAUGGGUAUGUAGAAAUUUUUACCAAGUUGUAAAGCUCAUAUAACCUCUUUCGUUUUCUUUCAAAGUUUCAGGAUGCGUAGCACUUAGCUAUGGUUAGGAUUACAGGUGAAAGAAUGAAUAGAUAGAGCAUCAUCGCUACCGAUCAUAUGAUUAAAUUUUGUAUUUGUACAAAUUUUUUUGUUUGUUACGAAUUGAGAUCAUUAUUGUUUGCUGAUACUGAGGUUGUAACGAUGUUUUAGACUUUGCAUAUUUUUGUGGACUUUGUCUUAGAGAGUAUGCGGCCAUGUCACAUGGUCGA
rnacentral:lncRNA from 1 species